rnacentral:rRNA from 1 species
GAUGAACGCUGGCGGCGUGCCUAAUACAUGCAAGUCGAGCGAACAGACGAGGAGCUUGCUCCUCUGACGUUAGCGGCGGACGGGUGAGUAACACGUGGAUAACCUACCUAUAAGACUGGGAUAACUUCGGGAAACCGGAGCUAAUACCGGAUAAUAUAUUGAACCGCAUGGUUCAAUAGUGAAAGACGGUUUUGCUGGCACUUAUAGAUGGAUCCGCGCCGCAUUAGCUAGUUGGUAAGGUAGCGGCUUACCAAGGCAACGAUGCGUAGCCGACCUGAGAGGGUGAUCGGCCACACUGGAACUGAGACACGGUCCAGACUCCUACGGGAGGCAGCAGUAGGGAAUCUUCCGCAAUGGGCGAAAGCCUGACGGAGCAACGCCGCGUGAGUGAUGAAGGUCUUCGGAUCGUAAAACUCUGUUAUUAGGGAAGAACAAAUGUGUAAGUAACUAUGCACGUCUUGACGGUACCUAAUCAGAAAGCCACGGCUAACUACGUG